GCUAUGCUCUAUAUUGAUCCAUAAAUAUCUUGGAGUUGCUAUUAUCAGUUGUCUUUAGUAAAAUUCUUAGUUUCGGUUUGGGAUGGUUUCCUGUGAGUUUUGGGUACCAAACACUUGAAUGUACUAACUAAAUACAGUGUCAUGUUUGCCUGUUUAGCAUUCUCUUGUAAGCACGCUUUAUGAUUGUUCCUUUCAUCUAUUAAGUAAUGAAGGAUUAAGAAAUUGCUGGUCUGGCACUGGAGGUCUUAUCCUUUAUGUUUGGAUUUUGGACAUGUUAUGGUCUUUCUUUAGAAUGUCUUGUGCUCCUCUCUUCAGCCUACAUCAAUUUCCCCAUGUGUUCUGUGUGUCAAUGGAGUUUAGAUACUUCUCAAAGAAUAGCUUUUUGUAUUAUCUCUCUGUAUUUAUUUUCUUUAACAAUUACCUUAACUCUAUCUUGCCACACAAAAGCGUCGCACAUCAGGAUCCUGGAAGAUAGUAAGACAGUGGAGCCCCCUACCCACUUAGCUUCUUUUAUUGCCCUGCUUUUGUUUCCAUCUAUCAUUGGAACUCUUUAAGUAUUUCAUGCUAUUUCUCUCAAAGAAUCUUCCUAAAACAUAUAGAAAAAUAUAACCUAUUUUCCAAUUCCAUUCAUAUAAUAUAAUAUGCCUAUCGAAACAAGCUAAGAAGAGUUUCUUAUUUGGUUAAAGAGCGAAUCAGCUUGGUUAAGCAUCUAGAGGGAAGCUUGUUGGGUGACUGUGUAGCUUGAAUUAUUGCAAUCAUCUACAGUGCUGCAAUAUUUUGCAUAUAUUGCAAAAAUAAUCAUGAAUUACUGCAAUUACCUAUAUUCUUCGUUGGAUCAAAAUUGUUUUGUUUAUUUGCAAAGUUUUGCAGGGGGGAUGCGAGUUUAUAUUUGUGAGCACAAUACUUCUCCUCCAGAGAGCCAGCACAUAAAGAUAGACCAACAAAACAUACUCAUUAGGUCGCUCAUGCUUAAUAACAAUAAGGGUGGUUCCAGUUCAAAGGAUGUGAAAGCUGCAGCUGAGGGUCCUAGAAAGAGG